rnacentral:rRNA from 1 species
AUUGAACGCUGGCGGCAGGCCUAACACAUGCAAGUCGAGCGGACGAAGGGAGCUUGCUCCUGGAUUCAGCGGCGGACGGGUGAGUAAUGCCUAGGAAUCUGCCUGGUAGUGGGGGAUAACGUCCGUAAACGGGCGCUAAUACCGCAUAGGUCCAUAGGGAGAAAGUCGGGGUUCUUCGGACCUCACGCUAUUAGAUGAGACUAGGACGGAUUAGCUAGUUGGUUGGGUAAAGGCCUACCAAGGCGACGAUCCGUAACUGAUCUGAGAGGAUGAUCAGUCACACUGGAACUGAGACACGGUCCAGACUCCUACGGGAGGCAGCAGUAGGGAAUAUUGGACAAUGGGCGAAAGCCUGAUCCAGCCAUGCCGCGUGUGUGAAGAAGGUCUUCGGAUUGUAAAGCACUUUAAGUUGGGAGGAAGGGCAGUAAGUUAAUACCUUGCUGUUUUGACGUUACCAACAGAAUAAGCACCGGCUAACUUCGUG